rnacentral:lncRNA from 1 species
CACAGCAAGGUAACAGUGAGCCAAUUGUCCAAGACCUGGCUCAGCUUGUUGAAGAGGCCACAGGAGUUCCACUACCUUUUCAGAAGCUCAUAUUUAAGGGCAAAUCUCUGAAAGAAAUGGAAACACCCUUGUCAGCACUUGGAAUGCAAAAUGGUUGCCGAGUCAUGUUAAUUGGUGAAAAGAGCAAUCCAGAAGAAGAGGCUGAGUUGAAAAAGCUGAAGGACUUGGAGGUAUCUGUGGAGAAGACAGCUAACCACCUGGAAGAGUUGAAUAAAGAGCUUUCUGACAUCCAGCAGGUAUGAACGUGUCACCCAGAGAUGCCAUUACUCUGAAAAGUAUUUCUCAUCCUAUUUAAUAUGUUGUACAGUUGGUAAAUUAUUCUUUUACUGAUGAAAAAUUAACAUUUUCCUCUGUCGUUGAAAAUAGCCAUAUUUUACUGCAUGUGAAUACAUCAUGAUUUACUUAACCU